AGAACGAACGCUGGCGGCAUGCCUAACACAUGCAAGUCGAACGAGACCUUCGGGUCUAGUGGCGCACGGGUGCGUAACGCGUGGGAAUCUGCCCUAGGGUGCGGAAUAACUCGGAGAAAUCCGUGCUAAUACCGCAUAAUGUCUUCGGACCAAAGAUUUAUUGCCCUGGGAUGAGCCCGCGUAGGAUUAGCUAGUUGGUGGGGUAAAGGCCUACCAAGGCGACGAUCCUUAGCUGGUCUGAGAGGAUGAUCAGCCACACUGGGACUGAGACACGGCCCAGACUCCUACGGGAGGCAGCAGUGGGAAUAUUGGACAAUGGGCGAAAGCCUGAUCCAGCAAUGCCGCGUGAGUGAUGAAGGCCCUAGGUUGUAAAGCUCUUUUACCCGGGAUGAUAAUGACAGUACCGGAGAAUAAGCUCCGGACUAACUCCGUAGCCAGCAGCCGC
rnacentral:rRNA from 1 species